rnacentral:lncRNA from 1 species
GCGGUGAGAGCGGGAAGACGGGUCUUAAACCCCAGACAUGCAUCCGGCAUUAUUUGGUAAAUCACCUGGGCCCUAUGCGCAUUGUCGGGAUCCACCGCAGAGUUAUACACGGCUUGGGUUGGUAACAUGAUUCCGCUGUUUGGUGUAGGUUCUUCGAGGACUACAAGAAGAAUGAGCACAAGGAGGUCAUUGUCGACGAUUUCCUCGGGUCAGAGGAGGCGAAGAAGGUCGUCAAGGACUCACUGGUAUGUGCGUUGCGCAUGUCCGCGCGUGUUGCUUGCCUACAUGGC